UCCGGUUUGGCACCGGCAGUCUCCCUAGAGUUCCCGGCUUUACCCGCUGGCAACUAAGGACAAGGGUUGCGCUCGUUGCGCCACUUAAGGCAACACCUCACGGCACGAGCUGACGACAGCCAUGCACCACCUGUGCAGGCUCCGUAGAGCGCCGGCUUUCACCGGCUUUGCCCUGCAUGUCAAGCCCAGGUAAGGUGGGGAUGACGUGUCCUUGAUAGG
rnacentral:misc_RNA from 1 species